rnacentral:rRNA from 1 species
UUAAGUUAUUAAGGGCGCACGGUGGAUGCCUUGGCACUAGAAGCCGAUGAAGGACGUUACUAACGACGAUAUGCUUUGGGGAGCUGUAAGUAAGCUUUGAUCCAGAGAUUUCCGAAUGGGGAAACCCAGCAUGAGUUAUGUCAUGUUAUCGAUAUGUGAAUACAUAGCAUAUCAGAAGGCACACCCGGAGAACUGAAACAUCUUAGUACCCGGAGGAAGAGAAAGAAAAUUCGAUUCCCUUAGUAGCGGCGAGCGAAACGGGAAGAGCCCAAACCAACAAGCUUGCUUGUUGGGGUUGUAGGACACUCUGUACGGAGUUACAAAGGACGACAUUAGACGAAUCAUCUGGAAAGAUGAAUCAAAGAAGGUAAUAAUCCUGUAGUCGAAAAUGUUGUCUCUCUUGAGUGGAUCCUGAGUACGACGGAGCACGUGAAAUUCCGUCGGAAUCUGGGAGGACCAUCUCCUAAGGCUAAAUCCUCUCUAGUGACCGAUAGUGAACCAGUACCGUGAGGGAAAGGUGAAAAGCACCCCGGAAGGAGAGUGAAAUAGAACCUGAAACCGUGUGCUUACAAGUAGUCAGAGCCCGUUAAUGGGUGAUGGCGUGCCUUUUGUAGAAUGAACCGGCGAGUUACGAUUUGAUGCAAGGUUAAGCAGUAAAUGUGGAGCCGUAGCGAAAGCGAGUCUGAAUAGGGCGUUUAGUAUUUGGUCGUAGACCCGAAACCAGGUGAUCUACCCUUGAGAUCGGGUUGAAGUUCAGGUAACACUGAAUGGAGGACCGAACCGACUUACGUUGAAAAGUGAGCGGAUGAACUGAGGGUAGCGGAGAAAUUCCAAUCGAACCUGGAGAUAGCUGGUUCUCUCCGAAAUAGCUUUAGGGCUAGCCUCAAGUGAUGAUUAUUGGAGGUAGAGCACUGUUUGGACGAGGGGCCCCUCUCGGGUUACCGAAUUCAGACAAACUCCGAAUGCCAAUUAAUUUAACUUGGGAGUCAGAACAUGGGUGAUAAGGUCCGUGUUCGAAAGGGAAACAGCCCAGACCACCAGCUAAGGUCCCAAAAUAUAUGUUAAGUGGAAAAGGAUGUGGCGUUGCCCAGACAACUAGGAUGUUGGCUUAGAAGCAGCCAUCAUUUAAAGAGUGCGUAAUAGCUCACUAGUCGAGUGACACUGCGCCGAAAAUGUACCGGGGCUAAACAUAUUACCGAAGCUGUGGAUUGUCCUUUGGACAAUGGUAGGAGAGCGUUCUAAGGGCGUUGAAGCAUGAUCGUAAGGACAUGUGGAGCGCUUAGAAGUGAGAAUGCCGGUGUGAGUAGCGAAAGACGGGUGAGAAUCCCGUCCACCGAUUGACUAAGGUUUCCAGAGGAAGGCUCGUCCGCUCUGGGUUAGUCGGGUCCUAAGCUGAGGCCGACAGGCGUAGGCGAUGGAUAACAGGUUGAUAUUCCUGUACCACCUAUAAUCGUUUUAAUCGAUGGGGGGACGCAGUAGGAUAGGCGAAGCGUGCGAUUGGAUUGCACGUCUAAGCAAUAAGGCUGAGUAUUAGGCAAAUCCGGUACUCGUUAAGGCUGAGCUGUGAUGGGGAGAAGACAUUGUGUCUUCGAGUCGUUGAUUUCACACUGCCGAGAAAAGCCUCUAGAUAGAAAAUAGGUGCCCGUACCGCAAACCGACACAGGUAGUCAAGAUGAGAAUUCUAAGGUGAGCGAGCGAACUCUCGUUAAGGAACUCGGCAAAAUGACCCCGUAACUUCGGGAGAAGGGGUGCUCUUUAGGGUUAACGCCCAGAAGAGCCGCAGUGAAUAGGCCCAAGCGACUGUUUAUCAAAAACACAGGUCUCUGCUAAACCGUAAGGUGAUGUAUAGGGGCUGACGCCUGCCCGGUGCUGGAAGGUUAAGAGGAGUGGUUAGCUUCUGCGAAGCUACGAAUCGAAGCCCCAGUAAACGGCGGCCGUAACUAUAACGGUCCUAAGGUAGCGAAAUUCCUUGUCGGGUAAGUUCCGACCCGCACGAAAGGCGUAACGAUUUGGGCACUGUCUCAACGAGAGACUCGGUGAAAUCAUAGUACCUGUGAAGAUGCAGGUUACCCGCGACAGGACGGAAAGACCCCGUGGAGCUUUACUGUAGCCUGAUAUUGAAAUUCGGCACAGCUUGUACAGGAUAGGUAGGAGCCUUUGAAACGUGAGCGCUAGCUUACGUGGAGGCGCUGGUGGGAUACUACCCUAGCUGUGUUGGCUUUCUAACCCGCACCACUUAUCGUGGUGGGAGACAGUGUCAGGCGGGCAGUUUGACUGGGGCGGUCGCCUCCUAAAAGGUAACGGAGGCGCUCAAAGGUUCCCUCAGAAUGGUUGGAAAUCAUUCAUAGAGUGUAAAGGCAUAAGGGAGCUUGACUGCGAGACCUACAAGUCGAGCAGGGUCGAAAGACGGACUUAGUGAUCCGGUGGUUCCGCAUGGAAGGGCCAUCGCUCAACGGAUAAAAGCUACCCCGGGGAUAACAGGCUUAUCUCCCCCAAGAGUUCACAUCGACGGGGAGGUUUGGCACCUCGAUGUCGGCUCAUCGCAUCCUGGGGCUGUAGUCGGUCCCAAGGGUUGGGCUGUUCGCCCAUUAAAGCGGUACGCGAGCUGGGUUCAGAACGUCGUGAGACAGUUCGGUCCCUAUCCGUCGUGGGCGUAGGAAAUUUGAGAGGAGCUGUCCUUAGUACGAGAGGACCGGGAUGGACAUACCUCUGGUGUACCAGUUGUCGUGCCAACGGCAUAGCUGGGUAGCUAUGUGUGGACGGGAUAAGUGCUGAAAGCAUCUAAGCAUGAAGCCCCCCUCAAGAUGAGAUUUCCCAACUUCGGUUAUAAGAUCCCUCAAAGAUGAUGAGGUUAAUAGGUUCGAGGUGGAAGCAUGGUGACAUGUGGAGCUGACGAAUACUAAUCGAUCGAAGACUUAAUCAA